rnacentral:tRNA from 1 species
UGAAAGAUAAGCUAAAUUUAAGCUAAUGGGUUCAUACCUCAUUUAUGGAUAAAAAUCCUCUUUUUA